GCCUACCAAGGCAAUGAUGUUUAGGGGACCUGAGAGGGUGAUCCCCCACACUGGUACUGAGACACGGACCAGACUCCUACGGGAGGCAGCAGUGAGGAACAUUGGUCAAUGGGCGGAAGCCUGAACCAGCCAUCCCGCGUGCAGGAAGACGGCCCUAUGGGUUGUAAACUGCUUUUUCAGUGGGCGAAACCCUCGUACGCGUACGGGAUUGACGGUACACUGGGAAUAAGCAUCGGCUAACUCCGUGCCAGCAGCCGCGGUAAUACGGAGGAUGCGAGCGUUAUCCGGAUUUAUUGGGUUUAAAGGGUGCGUAGGCGGAUGGAUAAGUCAGUGGUGAAAUUCUGCAGCUUAACUGUAGACUUGCCGUUGAUACUGUUUAUCUUGAGUAUGGUCAAGGCAGGCGGAAUGUGUAAUGUAGCGGUGAAAUGCUUAGAUAUUACACAGAACACCGAUUGCGAAGGCAGCUUGCUGGGCCAUUACUGACGCUGAUGCACGAAAGCGUGGGGAGCGAACAGGAUUAGAUACCCUGGUAGUCCACGCCGUAAACUAUGAUCACUAGCUGUUGGCGAUACACAGUCAGCGGCAAAGCAAAAGC
rnacentral:rRNA from 1 species